rnacentral:rRNA from 1 species
UGGGGAAUUUUGCGCAAUGGGGGGAACCCUGACGCAGCAACGCCGCGUGAGUGAAGACGCCCUUCGGGGUGUAAAGCUCUGUUGCCCGGGACGAGGGCCUGUGAGGUGAAGAGCCUCGUGGGAGGACGGUACCGGGUGAGGAAGCCCCGGCUAACUCCGUGCCAGCAGCCGCGGUAAGACGGAGGGGGCGAGCGUUGUUCGGAAUUACUGGGCGUAAAGCGCGCGUAGGCGGCGCAUCAAGUGUAGCGUGAAAGCCCCCGGCUUAACCGGGGAAGGGCGGUGCAAACUGAUGGGCUAGAGUGUCGGAGGGGGAUACGGAAUUCCUGGUGGAGCGGUGAAAUGCGUAGAGAUCAGGAAGAACGUCGGUGGCGAAGGCGGUAUCCUGGACGAACACUGACGCUGAGGAGCGAGAGCGUGGGGAGCGAACG